rnacentral:rRNA from 1 species
AGUGACCUACGGGGCGCAGCAGUGGGGGAUAUUGCACAAUGGAGGAAACUCUGAUGCAGCGACGCCGCGUGAGGGAAGACGGUCUUCGGAUUGUAAACCUCUGUCUUUGGGGAAGAAAAUGACGGUACCCAAAGAGGAAGCUCCGGCUAACUACGUGCCAGCAGCCGCGGUAAUACGUAGGGAGCGAGCGUUGUCCGGAAUUACUGGGUGUAAAGGGAGCGUAGGCGGGCGAGAAAGUUGAAUGUUAAAUCUACCGGCUUAAUUGGUAGCUGGGUUCAAAAAUUUUUGUUUUGAGUGAAGUAGAG